CAUUAACAGGAUGGACCCGGCUCGCCGGUGCUCUGCCUACCUUGCAUAAUCUACCUUUGUUGCUUUGGCGGGGCGCCUCACGGCCAGCGGCUCCGGCUGCUGCGCCCCCGCCAGAGGACCCCAACUCUUGAUUUUAGUGAUGUCUGAGUACUAUAUAAUAGUUAAAACUUUCAACAACGGAUCUCUUGGUUCUGGCAUCGAUGAAGAACGCAGCGAAAUGCGAUAAGUAAUGUGAAUUGCAGAAUUUAGUGAAUCAUCGAAUCUUUGAACGCACAUUGCGCCCUUUGGUAUUCCGAAGGGCAUGCCUGUUCGAGCGUCAUUACAACCACUCAAGCCCUUGCUUGGUCUUGGGGUCCGCGGUCUCGCGGCCCCUAAAAUCAGUGGCGGUGCCGGUCGGCUCUACGCGUAGUAAUACUCCUCGCGACAGGGCCCGGACGGUGUCUUGCCAGCAACCCCCCAUUUUUUCAGGUUG
rnacentral:rRNA from 1 species